GUGGAAGCGGGGUCUUAACCAUGGACCGCCAGGGGAAGCUCGGCCCCAUUGGAGUUGCCUGAUAGACCCCCAGGGAUUUUGGCAAACCCUGAGUUUCUGGGAGAAGAACACAGAGUGGAGCCUUUGGGAAGAAGACUCAGGACUCUGUGGUCACAUUUCUCAACAAGGCUUUCUGAAAUGGACCUGCACCAGCCUGUGUGCUAUGAGGCCUCUGGGUCUGAAUUUGCCACAACAGCUGGUGAACC